GGUCGCGUGACGUGCGCCGGUGCCCGCAAGGGCUUGAAAGGGAACACGGGUUCAAAUCCCGGGCUGUCCCUGCAACUGUAAGCGGUGAGCGUAUUGUAUGGUGCUUCCGCCUAGACGGCAGGGGGGCGGCCACUGGACCAGACGCUAAAUCGUGCGGGGUCCGGGAAGGCUUUGCAGCACGCGAUGACCCGUGAGCCAGGAGACCUGCCGGUGCAUGGUCGCUCUU
rnacentral:ncRNA from 2 species